AGUGAACGCUGGCGGUAGGCCUAACACAUGCAAGUCGAACGGCAGCACAGUAAGAGCUUGCUCUUACGGGUGGCGAGUGGCGGACGGGUGAGGAAUACAUCGGAAUCUACUUUUUCGGGGGGGAUAACGUAGGGAAACUUACGCUAAUACCGCAUACGACCUACGGGGGAAAGCAGGGGAACUUCGGACCUUGCGCGAUUGAAUGAGCCGAUGUCGGAUUAGCUAGUGGGCGGGGUAAAGGCCCACCAAGGCGACGGUCCGUGGCUGGUCUGAGAGGAUGAUCAGCCACACUGGAACUGAGCCACGGUCCAGACUCCUACGGGAGGCAGCAGUGGGGAAUAUUGGACAAUGGGCGCAAGCCUUAUCCAGCCAUACCGCGUGGGUGAAGAAGGCCUUCGGGUUGUAAAGCCCUUUUGUUGGGAAAGAAACGCAGCCGGUUAAUACCCCGCUGUUCUGACGGUACCCAAAGAAUAAGCACCGGCUAACUUCGUG
rnacentral:rRNA from 1 species